rnacentral:rRNA from 1 species
UUUUAUCAGAGAGUUUGAUCCUGGCUCAGGAUGAACGCUGGCGGCGUGCUUAACACAUGCAAGUCGAACGGGAAUCACUUCAUUGAGACUU